rnacentral:rRNA from 1 species
CAGCAGCCACGGGAAAACGGAGGAUCCGAGCGUUAUCCGGAUUUAUUGGGUUUAAAGGGUGCGUAGGCGGCUCAUUAAGUCAGGGGUGAAAGACGGUAGCUUAACUAUCGCAGUGCCUUUGAUACUGAUGAGCUUGAAUACACUUGAGGUAGGCGGAAUGUGACAAGUAGCGGUGAAAUGCAUAGAUAUGUCACAGAACACCAAUUGCGAAGGCAGCUUACUAAAGUGAGAUUGACGCUGAGGCACGAAAGCGUGGGGAUCAAACAGGAUUAGAUACCCGUGUAGUCCCUGUCUCUUAUAC